rnacentral:misc_RNA from 1 species
GUCAUAAUCUCAGAUUCUCCAGAAAUCAUAAAGCACGGACAUUCUGAGACAUGGACAUCAGGAGUUUCUUGAGCUGCAAUGGAAAAUGUUACUGGAGGGAGUCCAUCUGAAGUGUUGUGAUGGAAGGAGGAUGUUAUGCACACUAUCUUCCAUCAAAAUCUUUUUAUUAACAUGUCCACCAGAGAACUCUGAUAUACCACCCACUGAAUUAGCCCAGGUAAAAAGUAAUGUCACAUCAGCAUCAGUCUUCCCUGAGUUAGAAAGCGUAAAUGUGAAUACAGUGACUGGGAAGCUGCUGUCCUUGUAAUUAUGUGGAAUAAAUGGUGAAAGCUGACGACAAACAAUGCUGAGUUCAGGAUCUGGAACACCAUCAUAUACAGUCCACGCUCUAGGGUACAAAGCAU